AACGAACGCUGGCGGCAUGCCUAACACAUGCAAGUCGAACGAGACCUUCGGGUCUAGGGGCGCACGGGUGCGUAACGCGUGGUAACCUGCCCUUAGGUUCGGAAUAACUCCCCGAAAGGGGUGCUAAUACCGGUUAAUGUCUUCGGACCAAAGAUUUAUCGCCUUUGGAUGGGCCCGCGUUGGAUUAGCUAGUUGGUAGGGUAAAAGCCUACCAAGGCGACGAUCCAUAGCUGGUCUGAGAGGAUGAUCAGCCACACUGGGACUGAGACACGGACCAGACUCGUACGGGAGGCAGCAGUGGGGAAUAUUGGACAAGGGGCGAAAGCCUGAUCCAGCAAUGCCGCGUGAGUGAUGAAGGCCUUAGGGUUGUAAAGCUGUUUUAGCCGGGAUGAUAAUGACGGUACCGGGAGAAUAAGCUCCGGCUAACUCCGUG
rnacentral:rRNA from 1 species